rnacentral:rRNA from 1 species
GCCUAGCCGUAAACUUUUAUUUACACCCAAUCGCCAGGGAACUACGAGCUAAGCUUAAAACCCAAAGGACUUGACGGUGCCCCAUAUCCCCCUAGAGGAGCCUGUCCUAUAAUCGAUAAUCCACGUUCAACCUCACCAUCUUUAGUUAAUCAGCCUGUAUACCUCCGUCGUCAGCUUACCACGUGAGCGCCAAUUAGUGAGCUUAAUGUUCUUCACCAAUACGUCAGGUCAAGGUGCAGCAAAUGAAAUGGGAAGAGAUGGGCUACACUCUCUAUUUUAGAAAAAACGAAAAACUACCUAUGAAACCUAGUUAGAAGGCGGAUUUAGCAGUAAAAAGGAAUCAGCAUGUCCAUUUUAAUCCGGCACUGGGGUGUGU